CGGAAGUUGGCAGCGACCGGACGCCCGUUUGCUGCUGCUUUUGUGGCCUUGCGGAGCGAGUCCUGUCUCUGACUUCGUAGGCAUUUAACAAUGGACCCCCAGGAGGACGACGUGCAACCCCCAAAACAGCAGCCAAUGAUAUAUAUCUGCGGAGAAUGUAACACAGAAAAUGAAAUAAAAUCCAGGGAUCCAAUCAGAUGCAGAGAAUGUGGAUACAGAAUAAUGUACAAGAAAAGGACUAAAAGAUGUAUCCUUUUAAACUAUGC